GAGUUACUCCCUCCGUUCGGAAUUACUUGUCUCAGAAAUUGAUGUAUCUAGAACUAAAAUACAUCUAGAUACAUCCAUUUCUACGACAAGUAAUUCCGAACGGAGGGAGUAUAUG
rfam:Triticum aestivum genome assembly, contig: Triticum_aestivum_CS42_TGACv1_scaffold_361055_4DS